rnacentral:lncRNA from 1 species
GCAUUGUGCCUCCCCCUCGUGCCCUCCGAAGCUCAUGCAAGUUUGCAGGAAGAGACAUUCAGAGUGAAAUACGGCCUGAAAAGUCACUCCGAGUUGUAUUAUUUAUGAAAUGACACUCAACACAAGAAGAAACCCAAUACAGCACAUCAUUCUGCCUGCUCCGUGGCUUCUGCUUCUCAAGCGACUUAAAAUGAUUCGUCUCACUUUGUCUCCCAGGCUGGAGUGCAGUGGCGUGAUCUCGGCUCACUGCAACCCCCGCCUCCCUAGUUCAAGUAAUUCUCCUGCCUCAGCCCCCUGAGUAGCUGAGAUUACAGGAUCCUCUCUCUGGGAGUCCUCAUCUACCUCCAGCUGCAAUCAUCACCACAGAAGUGAGAGAGAGACUUUGACCUGAGCUGGACCCUCCAGCCCUCCCUCGCUGAACUACCAUCCAACCUUAUGUUCCUACUGAUGUUUGCUAUGUUAUUCAAUAAAUAUUGUAUGUUCUGUGGCAGUGGCCACCAGUCAUUUUCAAAUACCUGUUUUCCCUUCUUCCUUACCAAAAACACCCAUGGUUUUUAGCUGGACACCUGGUUGCCCAAAAUAAACAGUACAUUUGCAGUCUCCCUUA